rnacentral:rRNA from 1 species
UACAGAGGGUGCGAGCGUUAAUCGGAAUUACUGGGCGUAAAGCGUGCGUAGACGGUUAUUUAAGUCGGGUGUGAAAGCCCCGGGCUCAACCUGGGAAUUGCAUUCGAGACUGAAUAGCUAGGGUACGGUAGAGGGAAGCGGAAUUUCCGGUGUAGCGGUGAAAUGCGUAGAUAUCAGGAGGAACACCGGUGGCGAAGGCGGGUCUCUGGGCAACUACUGACGCUGAGAAGCGAAAGCGUGGGGAGCGAACAGG